GAUAUUGUGUUCUGUAUUCUGUUUUCCAGUGAGAAAAUCCGGUCAGACGAGUCAGCGGUGGUGGAAUCGAAAUAUUUGAACUGAUUUUGAAACUUGAAUUAUCCAUAAUGAGGCAUAUAUCACCACUCAUAAACACUGCACAGCAACUGUCACUAAUUCAUCCAAAACGAUAUUAAUGAUGACAAAUUCUCAUCCAUCCAUAGCAUGUCAGGUAUGUUGAAGACGAUGUCUAUUGCAGCUCUAAAAUUUCUGGGAUGAUCUUCAUUUAGGUUUAGAGCGUUACAAACUCAUAAUUGAAAUUCGCUGUAGACGUUGGUUCUGUAACCUCUCGUUCUAUUUAAUUACCGAGCCUUUUUUUGGUAGUUACGUGGUUUUCUUUGUUUUUUUUCCUUUUUUCAAUUUAUUGCUGGGCAAAAUUGUGUAAUACAGAAGAAAAAG